rnacentral:rRNA from 1 species
AUUGAACGCUGGCGGCAUGCCUUACACAUGCAAGUCGAACGGCAGCACGGGAGCAAUCCUGGUGGCGAGUGGCGAACGGGUGAGUAAUAUAUCGGAACGUGCCCAGUAGUGGGGGAUAGCUGCUCGAAAGAGCAGCUAGUACCGCAUACGACCUGAGGGUGAAAGAGGGGGAUCGCAAGACCUCUCGCUAUUGGAGCGGCCGAUAUCAGAUUAGCUAGUUGGUGGGGUAAAGGCCUACCAAGGCAACGAUCUGUAGUUGGUCUGAGAGGACGACCAGCCACACUGGGACUGAGACACGGCCCAGACUCCUACGGGAGGCAGCAGUGGGGAAUUUUGGACAAUGGGCGCAAGCCUGAUCCAGCAAUGCCGCGUGCAGGAAGAAGGCCUCCGGGUUGUAAACUGCUUUUGUCAGGGAAGAAAUCCUCUAGGUUAAUACCCUUGGGGGGAUGACGGUACCUGAAGAAUAAGCACCGGCUAACUACGUGCCAGCCGCCGCCGUAAGAC